UCUGCGGUAGCUCAGUGGUCAGAGCAUCGCACAGGUAAUGCGAAGACGUGGGUUCGUUUCCCACCUGCGGAC
rnacentral:tRNA from 1 species